CCAAAACUGAACCCCAAAAUCGCGUCAUGUGGGGUACAAAGGGGCUGUGACCCCAAAACCGCGUCCCGGGGGGGUACAAAGGGGUCUGUGCCCCCCCCUGCACCCCAAAACCGCCGUCCCGGGGGGCACCGAGGGGGCUGUGACCCCAAAACCGCGUCAUGGGGGGGUACAAAGGGGCUGUGACCCCAAAACCGAACCCCAAAAUCGCGUCAUGGGGGUACAAAGGGGUUGUGACCCCAAAACCGCGUCAUGGGGGGGGUACAAAGGGGUCUAUGCCCCCCCCCUGCACCCCAAAACCGCCGUCCCGGGGGGCACCGAGGGGGCUGUGACCCCAAAAUCGCGUCUCGGGGGGGUACAAAGGGGUCUGUGCCCCCCCCCGCACCCCAAAACCGCCGUCCCGGGGGGCACAAAGAUAUUUGUGACCCCAAAACCGCGUCCCGGGGCGUGGGGGGGGCACAAAGGGGUCUGGGGGUGUCCCCAAGCCCCCCCCCCCCCCAUUAUGCGGAGUCCAAAGUGUCGGGGGGGUGACAGAGGGGGACAUUGGGGUGUCCCCAAUGUCCGGAGGGGACACGGAAGGGGACAGAGGUGACCCCCAAGUGUCCCCCGGGCCCCCCCGCCCCAUUUCCCGCAGUCCAAGGGGUGACAGGUGACAGGAGGUGACAAGAGGUGACACGGGGGUGACACGGGGGUGACCCGGGGGUGACACGGGGGUGUCCCCAGCGCCCCUGAGCUGCUGUUGGAGGUGACAGGAGGUGACAGGAGGUGACACGGGGGUGUCCCCCUCUUCAGCCGCUCUCCGAGGUGACACAGGGGUGACACGGGGGUGUCCCCACGACCCCUCAGCCGCUGUCCGAGGUGACAGAAGGUGACAAGAGGUGACACGGGGGUGUCCCUAUCGCCCCUCAGCCGCUCUCCGAGGUGACAGGAGGUGACAGGAGGUGACAGGAGGUGACCCCCGUGUCCCCCCCGCUCAGCCGCUCUCCGAGGUGUCCCGGGGGUGUCCCGGGGGUGUCCCCACGACCCCUCAGCCGCUCUCCGAGGUGACAGGAGGUGACAGGAGGUGACCCCCAUGUCCCCCCUCCUCAUCCACUGUCCGAGGUGACCGGAGGUGACCAGAGGUGACAGGAGGUGACCCGAGGUGACCGGAGGUGACAGAAGGUGACCCCCAUGUCCCCCCCUCCUCAUCCACUGUCCGAGGUGACCCGAGGUGACCGGAGGUGACCGGAGGUGACAGGAGGUGACCCCCAUGUCCCCCCCUCCUCAUCCACUGUCCGAGGUGACAGGAGGUGACAGGAGGUGACAGAAGGUGACCGGAGGUGACCGGAGGUGACAGGAGGUGACCCCCAUGUCCCCCCCUCCUCAUCCACUGUCCGAGGCGGGCCGGGGGCUGU